UACGUAGGAGGCAAGCGUUGUCCGGAAUCACUGGGCGUAAAGCGCGUGUAGGUGGAAGAGGAAGUCUGCUGUGAAAGCGCCUGGCUUAACCGGGCGAGGUCGGUGGAAACUCCUCAUCUAGAGGUCGGUAGAGGGGGUGGAAUUCCGGGUGUAGUGGUGAAAUGCGUAGAGAUCCGGAGGAACACCUGUGGCGAAGGCGGCCCCCUGGGCCGCGCCUGACGCUGAGACGCGAAAGCGCGGGGAGCGAACGGG
rnacentral:rRNA from 1 species